rnacentral:rRNA from 1 species
GACGAACGCUGGCGGCGUGCUUAACACAUGCAAGUCGAACGCUGAAGCUCAGCUUUUGUUGGGUGGAUGAGUGGCGAACGGGUGAGUAACACGUGAGUAACCUGCCCCCUUCUUUGGGAUAACGCCCGGAAACGGGUGCUAAUACUGGAUAUUCACUGGUCUUCGCAUGGGGGUUGGUGGAAAGGGUUUUUCUGGUGGGGGAUGGGCUCGCGGCCUAUCAGCUUGUUGGUGGGGUGAUGGCCUACCAAGGCUUUGACGGGUAGCCGGCCUGAGAGGGUGACCGGUCACAUUGGGACUGAGAUACGGCCCAGACUCCUACGGGAGGCAGCAGUGGGGAAUAUUGCACAAUGGGCGCAAGCCUGAUGCAGCGACGCCGCGUGAGGGAUGGAGGCCUUAGGGUUGUGAACCUCUUUCGCUCAUGGUCAAGCCGCAACAAUGGUUGUGGUGAGGGUAGUGGGUAAAGAAGCCCCGGCUAACUACGUG